ACUGGGUCAACUUACCAUCACUAGGAUGUCCUUGUUCUAUUGCAAGUCAAACUAGAGGUGUUCUAGGUUGAGUCAAAUUUUGGCGCCGUUGCCGGGGAAGGUUUUAGGCGUUUAAUUGUGUCACUUUUCUUUCCGUUUUUCUUGUUUUCUGUACUUUACGUUUUUAUUUUUUUUACUUUUCUUUUCCUCCCACCCGGUGCGUUUAAUCCGUGUGUUAAGUGUUGUGUAUGGCUCAGAACAUGGAGUACAUGGGAGAUUUCACCCGGCCCGUCAUCGGAGACACCAACACAUCGGCUAUUGUGCUUCCACCCGCCGUCAGAGAUUACAAUCUAAAGCCGAAUGAUUCAAGUCUUCUACCUCUGUUCCAUGGGAUGCCGAGUGAAGAUGCCCUACAAUUCAUCCGUGAU
rnacentral:lncRNA from 1 species